rfam:Schistosoma mattheei strain Denwood, Zambia genome assembly, scaffold: SMTD_scaffold0005500
AUACAGUCGACGAGUUCCAAAUAGGACGAAACAUGCGUACUGUAU